rnacentral:rRNA from 1 species
CCAGACUCCUACGGGAGGCAGCAGUGAGGAAUAUUGGUCAAUGGUCGGGAGACUGAACCAGCCAAGCCGCGUGAGGGAGGAAGGUACAGAGUAUCGUAAACCUCUUUUGUCAGGGAACAAAGGCGGGGACUAGUCCCCGGAUGAGGGUACCUGAAGAAAAAGCAUCGGCUAACUCCGUGCCAGCAGCCGCGGUAAUACGGAGGAUGCGAGCGUUAUCCGGAUUUAUUGGGUUUAAAGGGUGCGUAGGCGGGAUGCCAAGUCAGCGGUAAAAAUGCGGUGCUCAACGCCGUCGAGCCGUUGAAACUGGCGUUCUUGAGUGGGCGAGAAGUAUGCGGAAUGCGUGGUGUAGCGGUGAAAUGCAUAGAUAUCACGCAGAACUCCGAUUGCGAAGGCAGCAUACCGGCGCUCAACUGACGCUGAGGCAAGAAAGCGUGGGGAUCGAACAGGAUUAGAUACCCCAGUA